CAGGAACCUGAAACUGCCUGAA
rnacentral:miRNA from 8 species